AUUGAACGCUGGCGGCAGGCCUAACACAUGCAAGUCGGACGAGCGGAGGACGGGUGUGUAAUGUAUGGGGAUCUGCCUGAUGGAGGGGGAUAACUACUGGAAACGGUAGCUAAUACCGCAUACAAUCAGAUGAGCCCAUAUGGGAUUAGCUUGUAGGUGAGGUAACGGCUCACCUAGGCGACGAUCCCUAGCUGGUCUGAGAGGAUGAUCAGCACCACGGGGACUGAGAAACGGCCAAGAUUCCUACGGGGGGCAGCAGGGGGGAAUAUUGGACAAUGGGCGCAAGCCUGAUGCAGCCAUGCCGCGUGUAGGAAGAAGGCCUUCGGGUUGUAAAGUACUUUAAGUCGGGAGGCGUUACCGACAGAAGAAGCACCGGCUAACUCCGUGCCAGCAGCCGCGGUAAUAC
rnacentral:rRNA from 1 species